rnacentral:rRNA from 1 species
AGAGUUGAUCAUGGCUCAGAGUUGAACGCGUGGCGGCAGGCUUAACACAUGCAAGUCGAGGCGGGGAUAGGGUGCUUGCACCUGAUUCCUAGCGGCGACGGGUGAGUAAUGCUUAGGAAUCUGCCUAUUAGUGGGGGACAACGUUCCGAAAGGGACGCUAAUACCGCAUACGUCCUACGGGAGAAAGCAGGGGAUCUUCGGACCUUGCGCUAAUAGAUGAGCCUAAGUCGGAUUAGCUAGUUGGUGGGGUAAAGGCCUACCAAGGCGACGAUCUGUAGCGGGUCUGAGAGGAUGAUCCGCCACACUGGGACUGAGACACGGCCCAGACUCCUACGGGAGGCAGCAGUGGGGAAUAUUGGACAAUGGGGGCAACCCUGAUCCAGCCAUGCCGCGUGUGUGAAGAAGGCCUUUUGGUUGUAAAGCACUUUAAGCGAGGAGGAGGCUUACCUGGUUAAUACCCGGGAUAAGUGGACGUUACUCGCAGAAUAAGCACCGGCUAACUCUGUGCCAGCCGCGGC